GUGUGUGAGGCCGGGGUGGGUCCCGGAGGGACGGUCUUCGCCGGCCGUGGCGUGGCCUGGCCUCCCUGCCGUGCGGGCGGGGGGCCUCCUCCUCGUCCUCCUCGUCCUCCUCGUCCUCCUCGUCCGCCGCCGGUUGCCGGCUGACUUUCCUCCGCUUCUCUCCGGAGCCGGGACACCGAGGGGCUGCCGCCCGCCCGCCCACCGGAGCCAAGAAUUGUCCAUCGUAGUAAUACAGUUCUAGAAGAAAGACUAAUUUCCCAGAUUUGUGUCAAGGUACAACGCAGCCACAACCAUCAGCAGCAUGCGGCAGUGAGCUGGAGUGAAGUUGUACAGCAUAGAGUGAUGAAGCUGGAUUUCCUUUGAUCUUUGAAGACGUCCUUUUUAAAGGGGAAAGGGAAAUGUUUUAUGAGGUCAUUUCUGGACUAAUCAUGUGGCACAGAUAUUAACGCGCUGGCACACUGGAUUUCCUGAAGUUUGUUUUGCUGAACCCUAACCUGUUCUAAAGAGUCCUGAGUGACAGGUACUGUAAACAUCCUACACUCUCAGCUGUAGAUGUGAGAAAGCUGGGAGAAGGCUGUUUACUCUCUCUGCCUUGGAAAUCAGCCAAAGAGAACAGAAUUGAGGAUCGUGUGGUGUUCCUGGGUGUCCAUUCCGAUGUUGUGCUUUAUUAACAUUUGAGGGUGAAAUAUUCAAAAGGAAAUCUAUUUAUCUUGGCCAGACCAAGUAAUGUUAAUGG